CCCAAUGGGGGGAACCUUGAUGCAGCGACGCCGCGUGGAGGAAGAAGCCUUUCGGGUGGUAAAUUUUUUUUAUCGGGGAAAAUAGUGAUGUACCCUUAGAAAUAAGCCACGGCUAACUCUGUCCCAGCAGCCGCGGUAAGACAGAGGUGGCGAGCGUUGUUCGGAAUUACUGGGCUUAAAGGGCGCGUAGGUGGUGAUACAAGUCCGAGGUGGAAUUCGCAGUCAACUGUAGGAUUGCCUCAGAAACUGUCUUACUUGAGUCAGACAGGGGAAGGCGGAAUUCCCGGUGUAGCGGUGAAAUGCGUAGAUAUCAGGAGGAAGGCCUGUGGCGAAGGCGGCCUUCUGGGGCUUGACUGACACUGAGGCGCGAAAGCGUGGGGAGCAAACAGGAUUAGAUACCCCGGUAGUCC
rnacentral:rRNA from 1 species